rnacentral:rRNA from 1 species
GUGGAUUAGAUACCCUGGUAGUCCACGCCCUAAACGAUGUCAACUGGUUGUUGGGAGAGUGAAAUCUCUUAGUAACGAAGCUAACGCGUGAAGUUGACCGCCUGGGGAGUACGGUCGCAAGAUUAAAACUCAAAGGAAUUGACGGGGACCCGCACAAGCGGUGGAUGAUGUGGAUUAAUUCGAUGCAACGCGAAGAACCUUACCUACCCUUGACAUGUCCGAAACUUUCCAGAGAUGGAUUGGUGCCCGAAAGGGAAUCGGAACACAGGUGCUGCAUGGCUGUCGCCAGCU